rnacentral:rRNA from 1 species
UACGGAGGGUGCAAGCGUUAUCCGGAUUUACUGGGUUUAAAGGGUGCGUAGGUGGAUAAUUAAGUCAGUGGUGAAAUCUUCAGGCUUAACCUGGAAACUGCCAUUGAUACUAUUUGUCUUGAAUACUUCGGAGGUAAGCGGAAUAUGUCAUGUAGCUGUGAAAUGCUUAGAUAUGACAUAGAACACCAAUUGCGAAGGCAGCUUACUACACAGUAAUUGACACUGAGGCACGAAAGCGUGGGGAUCAAACAGG